rnacentral:rRNA from 1 species
AUGGAAGCAGGGGGCUUCCCCCGGAGAUGGAUUGGCUGGGUUUCUUCUCUCCUGCACACCUCCAGCUCUAUGGUCAUGGUCAAUGGUGAGCUUGGGGACCCGAUCGUCUCCAAGAGAGGGUUCAGGCAGGGCGAUUCGUUGUCCCCUUAUUUGUUCAUCUUGGUGGCUGAUGUGCUGCAACGUAUGUGCUGUGUUGCGUUUGAGGCAGGGAGCUUG